GCGUUGACUUCUUCUGUUUCCAGGUUGUGGCACACAGCUUGUGCAAGCAAAGAGGGAGAGGUGAUCGUCUUCAGGGGCUGUGCCAACAAUUUACUUGCUCAUUCUAAAGCUGCUCACAGUAAUGAAAUACUUGUGUUUUCCCUACAACCAAGAUCUCUUGUAAGGCUGUGCCUCGAAGCAGUCAUUUGCUUUAAGGAGAUGCUGGCCAGUUCCUGGAACUGCCUCCCCAAGCACUUGCUGCACAGCGUCAAUCAGCGGUUUGGAAGCAACAACACCUCGGGCUCCUGAGCGGCCGCACUGACGUGGCGCUGAGCAAGCUGUGCAUGGCUGAGCAAGUCUGAGAGAUGUAAUAAUUUUACCAAGUGUGGCAAACAUUAAACUUGUAUAGAUUAAAUAUCUUUAUUGUUGUAGGUAGUUGCUUCCUGCCUUUAAGUUGCAUGUGAAUGGCCUAGAGAGAACCUAUUUUUGUGUGAAAAUGUUUGCAAUAAAUGUAUUUAAUGCAGGUGGA